rnacentral:siRNA from 1 species
UAUCUGGUGAUCUACAAAUCC